AGAGAGAGAACAAGAGGGAGGACGAAGUGAAGAAAAUGAUAGACAGCCCCAGUCAGUGACAGUGUUCCAGUGAGGCCUGGAACAUCAGCUGAGAGUGCAGUUGUACCAGCAGUGAUUUACAUCGAGGACUUGAAUGACAAGGAAACAGACAAUGAAUGGAAGCUGAUUAAAGAACCAGCUCAAGCUGCCAAAGUUUUCAAAGAGAAUCUGCUAAGUGAACAUGCAUCUGGGAAACCACUGAGAAUGAAGAUGGAUAUGAGGGACUCUGAAGAGGAACGGGAACUUCUCUCUUUCUAUAAACAGCCGCAAGAAUGGGCAUGUCCACUUCACUGUACUCUUCUUGGUGAUGUUGCUGUCGGAGAGGGAGUGAUGCGGUACUUUAUGACAAAAAUAAUAUCCAAACUGCAGUUUGGAUUCAGUCUAGAUCUUGGAGGAAUGGGCCGAACACUGCUAUUUGAGGGUGAACCUGACCAUCUUGUUCCAGCAGCAUCAGAGGUGCUUAUUGAAAGCGACCUCUUCCGGGUUGCAGGAAGGAUGUUGGCCCACAGCUUUCUGCAUGAUGGCCCCCAUGUCAGAGGAUUAAGUCCUGCUGUAGUUCAUGUACUGUUCAACGAGGACCCUGAAACGGCAACUGUUGUUACAGAAGACUGUCCUGAUCUGGACAUCAGGAGUGUCAUAGAACUGCUUGAACAUGAAGAACUUACACCGGAACAGAAGGACACGGUUUCAGCUCUUUCCCUGUCUUGGGAUCUCCCGGCAGUCAACAAAACAAAUCGGAGAUGGCUGCAUAACAAACUUCUACUGCAUGCAGUUAUUGGGAGGACCAUGCGCCAAAUUAAACAGCUGAGAAAGGGACUGAAAGAUGUGAUGGUAUGGCCCCUGCUGACAUCGAGGCCAGAUGUUGUCUCACUUCUUUUCCCUAAAAUGGCUGAAAUGCAGUUCACACCCCAGAUGCUCCUAGAAAAAAUCACAUGGCCAGCUGAGGACAGUGAUGAUUAAGACUUUGAUAUAGAGUCCACGUGCCGCAUCACUGGCUUUCUGAGGAUGUUCAUUGAAACGGGUAUUA